UACGGAGGGUGCGAGCGUUGUCCGGAAUCACUGGGCGUAAAGGGCGCGUAGGCGGCCUGAUAAGUAGGGGGUGAAAUCCUGCGGCUUAACCGCAGGGCUGCCUUCUAAACUGUCAGGCUUGAGCACAGUAGAGGCAGGUGGAAUUCCCGGUGUAGCGGUGGAAUGCGUAGAUAUUGGGAAGAACACCGGUGGCGAAGGCGGCCAAUCGUGGACCGCAACUCGACGCUGAGGCGCGAAAAGCGUGGGGAGCAAACAGGG
rnacentral:rRNA from 1 species